UUAUCUCAACUCCCACAACUGUGCAAACCCUCAGAGUCCAGACCUGCUGCCACCAUCUCAAAACCAAAUCGUACAUCCAGUAUUUCAAAUCCCACAUCUGCUGCAACCAGCUUCAAAUUCCAAAUCCAACACCAGCAUCUCAAAUCCCACACCUGCUGCCACCAGCUUAAAUGCCACACCUACUGCCAGCAACUCAAAUUACACACCUGCUGCCACCAUGUCAGAGCCCAAACAUACUGCCACCUUCUCAGAGUCUGCCACCGUCCCCACAACAUCUGCAGGACAAUUCAUCUCAGUCUGUAAACAUCCUACUAACAAUGCAGAUCAAAGAAGAAUAAACAUCAAACAGAGGAGGAGAAAAGACAGAGCAAAUGAAAGAGAAAGCUCUUUUGACAAAGCUGAAGCAGGAGAAAUCCCUGCCAAGAAGAAAGCACUGCAAACUUCUCCGAGUUCAAGCACAGAAAACAGAAAGUUCAAGCGUCUCUGUACGGGAGAAGCAGCAGACAGUGAAGGGGAGAGCGAUCCGAUGAACGUGGAUGAGUCUACCUGUUCUGCCCCAGAGGAGGACACCAUGGAUCAUGAAUCUGCUGAGGACUCCCACCGUGUGCCACCUACUGAGGACCUCGACAUGCAGUGUGACUGAAGUUUAUUACGCUUCACCUUUCAGUUUUUUACUGAUUAUUUUAUACUGAUAAAAGUCUUUAUGUUGUUGGUUAUUUUGGUUAUUUUUAUACAGAUCUUGUAUACACUGUACACGUACGGUGUUCCAGCUGUUUUAUUUAGUGUCUGUUAGAUUUUAUUAAAAAUCUGAAUUGUAAAUGAAUUGUAAAUACAUCAUACCAUUUAACAAAAAUCUGAAUAUUUCAGAAAAUGUCAUCUCUCACUGCAGAAAUCACGGGGUUUUACUUAUUACAUUUUCAAAUUUGUUUUAAUUAUUUAUUUCUUAUGUUUAACCAGAUCAGAGCUUUCUUCAAAAAUAAUUUUUGACAUUUAACAUGGUUUCCCAGAGAAUUCUGAUGGCUGCCAUGAAUGAAUUAUAUUAAUGUGUUACAGAAUAGGUGAACUAGCCAAUCAGGUUAUUGUUGUAAAUGCACUGUGUGAUGUAUCUGUACGGGAUGUUGUUGUGAUUAAAUGUCUUGAAAUUAUAUAUCAGCAAAAAUAACCUUACAGUUUUAAUUACUACUUUUUUAAAUGCAUGAUUUUUUAAAUAAAAAAAUUACAUCAAAAUUGGCAAUGUCCUUAUAAUUUUGAAGUUAAAUACAUGGACGGGGUUUGGGUUAGGGGUUAG
ensembl:lncRNA